rnacentral:rRNA from 1 species
UCUCCUGGAAACGGGUGGUAAUGCCGGAUGCUCCAUCGCACCGCAUGGUGUGUUGGGAAAGCCUUUGCGGCAUGGGAUGGGGUCGCGUCCUAUCAGGUAGUCGGCGGGGUAACGGCCCACCGAGCCUACGACGGGUAGCCGGCCUGAGAGGGCGACCGGCCACAUUGGGACUGAGAUACGGCCCAGACUCCUACGGGAGGCAGCAGUGGGGAAUAUUGCACAAUGGGCGCAAGCCUGAUGCAGCGACGCCGCGUGCGGGAUGACGGCCUUCGGGUUGUAAACCGCUUUUGAUCGGGAGCAAGCCUUCGGGUGAGUGUACCUUUCGAAUAAGCACCGGCUAACUACGUGCCAGCAGCCGCGGUAAUACGUAGGGUGCAAGCGUUAUCCGGAAUUAUUGGGCGUAAAGGGCUCGUAGGCGGUUCGUCGCGUCCGGUGUGAAAGUCCAUCGCUUAACGGUGGAUCCGCGCCGGGUACGGGCGGGCUUGAGUGCGGUAGGGGAGACUGGAAUUCCCGGUGUAACGGUGGAAUGUGUAGAUAUCGGGAAAGAACACCA